ACAUCCUAGCCAGGAAGCCAAAUGUAUUUGAGAGCAGCAGCAAUCUUCGACUCUGUGAUCGAAUGCUCUAUCGCUGUGUAUAUGUCCCUGAGGUUAAGAACCGUCAAUCCAGAAGAGGAGACCGGAGAAGUUUAGAGGAGACCGGAGAGCACUAUCCCAAGAACUACCAGACGUGUGUGAACUUCAUUCGUCUAAUUUCGACUGCAUUCUGGCUAAUUGCUCCUCUUGGAAAAGGUCAAG